AUUGAACGCUGGCGGCAGGCCUAACACAUGCAAGUCGAACGAGUGGCGGACGGGUGAGUAAUGUUUGGGAAUCUAGCUUAUGGAGGGGGAUAACUACGGGAAACUGUAGCUAAUACCGCGUACCAUAGGAUGAGCCCAUGUGGGAUUAGGUAGUUGGUGGGGUAAAGGCUCACCAGGCCGACGAUCCCUAGCUGGUCUGAGAGGAUGACCAGCCACACUGGGACUGAGACACGGCCCAGACUCCUACGGGAGGCAGCAGUGGGGAAUAUUGCGCAAUGGGGGCAACCUGACGCAGCCAUGCCGCGUGAGUGAAGAAGGCCUUCGGGUUGUAAAGUACUUUCGGUAGGGAGGCGUUACCUGCAGAAGAAGCACCGGCUAACUCCGUGCCAGCAGCCGCGGUAAUAC
rnacentral:rRNA from 1 species